ensembl:lncRNA
CUUCAUGUUGGUCACAAGCAUUCAUUGCAGAAUCUCUCAACAAAAGCUCCUCUGUCUAUAUGCACACACACAAAGUGCAUGUUGGGGCGACUGCACACUGAACACACUGUACAUAUGAGCAGGUCUGUUUCUCUGUGUUGGGGCAUGUUCGAGCCGACCUGCUCUGCACAGUCAGCUGGAGGUGAGAGAGAGCAGCGCGUUAGUGCUGUUGACACAUCACAGAUCUUUAAAGAGGCAUGCAACUCUGUGUCUCUAUCUCUCCCUAUCAGGGCACCCAUCUCCCCCCAUGUUAACAGGGCGUCUCUCUCUCUCGCUCUCAAUUUCUCUCUUUACCGGAUAUGUUUCUCUUCCCUUUACCUCUUCCCACAGAUCAUGUCCCCCCCGCCCCCCUUGCUUUUUAGAAGAUGGCUCCAUCUCUGUGUUCCGUCAGGUUGUCUCUCAUUCCCUAUCUCUCCCUCCCUCUCUAUCUCUCUCUCCCUACCCAACAGAAUCUCUCUCUCUCUCCCUUCAGAAUGUCUCUCUCUCUUUCUUUCUUUCCUGGCAGGGCGUACCACAUGUCAUCUUCCUGGCUGCUUAUCAGAGGCUCCAUCAGCAUUCCUCCCCCUGUCUGCCCUGCCCCUGGAGCUGUUCAUGAAGGCCUCGACCUGGAGCUGGAGCACUUGCUACACUUCACACCUCGCUCAGGGCCUGUCAGUGGGGGUACGAAACUCAUUAAAGUCAGAUCAGCACUCCUUCCAGACUAUGACAUCUGAUAGUGGUAGCCGUUCCGGACGAACACCAUGUAGGGUAUGGUGACAGACAGUAGAUGACUCACUCUGACUGGCAGGGGUGCACGCACACACACACACAUACACACAAAAACACCAUAGCCUCCUCUUUGCCAAAAUCAGUCAGCCCUCACAGGCAUAAAUGCACUGUAGGUCAAAGAAACGUAGCAGAAGUUGCCAUCUUCAAACAGACAAGAUGUGUCCAGCCCGCACCUGCAUAAGUGCAAAAAAAGAGUAGAACAAACACAAUCACGAGUAAACGCAAUCUAAUUAGCUUUUAAUUGCAUAACGAAACAAAACGGUUGUUCUUAAGACAUUAGAGGCCUAGUGUUGUAGUUGCAUGCUAUGGUCUGCAUAACGGGAGUAUGACUAGCUAAAAAGAAAUUCCUCAGUACUUUGAAAAAUUCGCAAGUUGCAUUAGGAUUUCCCAGGUACUUUCCAAGAGCACCGCCCAAGCGGACGCAUUUGUAGGUCACGGGCUACAGUUCUGUCAAGCGACGCCCCGUCUUUUCCCCGUCCCGAGGAGCUCCAUCUACACUCACCACUGCCAGGAAUCUCGCCAAACCCCCCAGACACAAGUGAUUACAGUCAAACCAGGAGAAAGGCUAGGACAGCAGUAGAGGAGUUUUUGUUUUUAGAGGUGUUAUCCAAGUUUGCAUGAUAGGUGCUUCUGUUUCAGUCAGAGUGUGAUCAUCAGAGCACCCUGUCAUACAUCAUUGAAUGCAUAAUUCGCAUUUCAAAGCUGUAGUGCUAGAGGUAGCAUACAGUAAGGCGUGAAUGCAGUUUCCUAGUUUGAUUGAUAGUAUGUAAUUAAACCCAGAUCACAGCCCAGUCAGGAGUGUAUCGCUGGGGGGCAAGAAUGUCGAGUGAACCCCUCCAAGCUUCCACCCCGAGUGAAGAACUGUGAACAGGGCUGUCAUUUAGCGCGCACCGUUUCUCAAUCUCUUCUCCUGCAAAACUGUAAACCACUGUUGCAUCAUGACGGAGAGGUUGUCGGUCGAGCAAAUAGACCUUACACCAUAACUCACUCACACACCAGACCUCAACCAAUCCAAACUAUGUGAAACAACACGUACACAACGUGACAUAGCCCACAAAGACAGCGCGUUUAGAAUAGGGAGAAGAGGGAGGGGAUUUCUUUUGGUAGUAAACACCAUAUCGUGCACCACUUAACACUCCCAACUCCCCUUGCAAAUCCAGGACAGUGUUAUUCUUAAAUUAAUUUACAGGAGGAUCAUUCAUUUAGGACCGCUGUUGUUGAGGACUGUGGCUUAGGUUGUUGUAUUAGGACACAACAGCUGAUGGGACAACAAAACUGCCAUUAGCACCGUAUGGCCACUUCACACACUCAAUGAUUCGGUUGUACACUAGCUACAUGCAGCGAUUUAGCUGUGAAAGCUCGUUAAUCUAUACCUGUUUUAUGUGUGUUAGGCGAAUACAGGCAAAGCCACAGGCUUUUAGUUAUCUUACCAGUUUAAGUUGGAGCAGUAUGCCAGGUGGUGAAGGAAAAGUUAACUACAUUCCCUCCUCCAUGCACUUCGAAGAAGCGAUUACCAGCAGUCCAACUGUCAGAACGGAUGUUUUCAUUCGCCUCGGAGGGAUCGGUUCACACCCGCCGAACGACUUCAAAUAUCAAUUUAGGACAAACUGGAGAAAAAGCCCUACACGUGCAGCCGACAGUCUUUGUUUUGAGAGAAACAAUAAGGACAGCGUCGCUUAUGGGAGAGGAAGACGAAAGCUUUGACUGGAUUAAAAAAAAUACAAGCUUGGCAAUCCUUACAGGCGGAGGUGGCUUUCUAAAAUAGUAACGUCCAAAUCACUCCCUAAACACGCGGAGAGUGCGGGACACCUCACACAUCCGUGGCUUGGUCUCUCCUCUCUCUGCCCCUCCAGUGAAGUUUAUUUUCCAAUCGCGUUGCAAAGUUGAAAUCCCGCCCCUCUCCUUCCCGGCGAGUCUCGCAAUCUCUGGCUGUGGGCAAUCCCACUCGUCAGUCAGUGCACACAGACAGCCCGAGACAGUAUACUAUGGGUUACGUGCUGAGCCGAGAACUGUCGGGUGCCAGGAAAGCUGUUGACAAAAUCACUGGUAAAAGUUCAUACAUAUUAAACACAUGGACUGUAAUAGAAUUGUUACACGCCAAAUUAUGUUAGUUGUUGAACAGCCAAAAAGUAGAACAGAUGGAGCCGAUCUGGCCUGAUGACAAUUGGCCUGUCUCGUAUGACUGAAUUUGUAUGAAGCUGACACAUUUAAACAAUGC